AUAGUUUUUUGAAAGAAUAUCAAGAAAAUAGUUUGAAAACUUAGGGAAAUCAUAGAUCUGGAACAGAUCUAAAGAGAUCAGUAAAACUUCAAAAGCUAGGGUUUUCAGAGGAACCCAAAGGAUGAGAAAGACUUGGAUCUAAGUAGGAGGGGUUGAGGCCAGGUUCAAAACAGACAUGGCUUGCCGGAGCAGGGUCGGGAUGGCCGUAAAGCUUGAACCAACAGAGGUAUGGAUACAACUCUUCAUGGUCAAGUCAUGAAACUUCAGUAACCAAGCGUGAGGAGCCAUAGGGGGCUGAUGGGUGGUGAAACCACCAUGGAUUCAGGCCAAGAGGUGACCGGAGAAGAUGAAGGAAACUCAUCGAAAAUGCGGAGAGGGGGAGGGUUCUAGAGAGAACUAGAGAUAGAGAGAUAGAGACAAGUGAGGAAAAAGAG
rnacentral:lncRNA from 1 species